GCCAGGCGGUUGCUAUACAUGCAGUCGACGCGUUGGCCCAAUUGAUUGAUGGUGCUUGCACCUGAUUGAUUUUGGUCGCCAACGAGUGGCGGACGGGUGAGUAACACGUAGGUAACCUGCCCAGAAGCGGGGGACAACAUUUGGAAACAGAUGCUAAUACCGCAUAACAGCGUUGUUCGCAUGAACAACGCUUAAAAGAUGGCUUCUCGCUAUCACUUCUGGAUGGACCUGCGGUGCAUUAGCUUGUUGGUGGGGUAACGGCCUACCAAGGCGAUGAUGCAUAGCCGAGUUGAGAGACUGAUCGGCCACAAUGGGACUGAGACACGGCCCAUACUCCUACGGGAGGCAGCAGUAGGGAAUCUUCCACAAUGGGCGCAAGCCUGAUGGAGCAACACCGCGUGAGUGAAGAAGGGUUUCGGCUCGUAAAGCUCUGUUGUUAAAGAAGAACACGUAUGAGAGUAACUGUUCAUACGUUGACGGUAUUUAACCAGAAAGUCACGGCUAACUACGUGCCAGCAGCCGCGGUAAUACGUAGGUGGCAAGCGUUAUCCGGAUUUAUUGGGCGUAAAGAGAGUGCAGGCGGUUUUCUAAGUCUGAUGUGAAAGCCUUUCGGCUUAACCGGAGAAGUGCAUCGGAAACUGGAUAACUUGAGUGCAGAAGAGGGUAGUGGAACUCCAUGUGUAGCGGUGGAAUGCGUAGAUAUAUGGAAGAACACCAGUGGCGAAAGGCGGCUACCUGGUCUGCAACUGACGCUGAGACUCGAAAGCAUGGGUAGCGAACAGGAUUAGAUACCCUGGUAGUCCAUGCCGUAAACGAUGAGUGCUAGGUGUUGGGAGGGUUUCCGCCCUUCAGUGCCGGAGCUAACGCAUUUAAGCACUCCGCCUGGGGGAGUACGACCGCAAGGUUGAAACUCAAAGGAAUUGACGGGGGCCCGCACAAGCGGUGGAGCAUGUGGUUUAAUUCGAAGCUACGCGAAGAACCUUACCAGGUCUUGACAUCUUGCGCCAACCCUAGAGAUAGGGCGUUUCCUUCGGGAACGCAAUGACAGGUGGUGCAUGGUCGUCGUCAGCUCGUGUCGUGAGAUGUUGGGUUAAGUCCCGCAACGAGCGCAACCCUUGUUACUAGUUGCCAGCAUUAAGUUGGGCACUCUAGUGAGACUGCCGGUGACAAACCGGAGGAAGGUGGGGACGACGUCAGAUCAUCAUGCCCCUUAUGACCUGGGCUACACACGUGCUACAAUGGACGGUACAACGAGUCGCGAACUCGCGAGGGCAAGCAAAUCUCUUAAAACCGUUCUCAGUUCGGACUGCAGGCUGCAACUCGCCUGCACGAAGUCGGAAUCGCUAGUAAUCGCGGAUCAGCAUGCCGCGGUGAGUACGUUCCCGGGCCUUGUACACACCGCCCGUCACACCAUGAGAGUUUGUAACACCCAAAGUCGGUGGGGUAACCUUUUAGGAGCCAGCCGCCUAAGGUGGACAGAUAUACGG
rnacentral:rRNA from 2 species